CAGCGACUGCGCCUGCUCUGAGCGCUCCCCGGCCCAGGCCCCACGUCCCCGCCGCCCAGGGGGAGACUGAGCCGGGCGGCCUGCGCGCCCCACCCUGCUCAGGAACGGCCGGGGUCGAGCGCCGCGCCGUUUACGGACCAGAGGGGACGCCGGGAGGAGCGGAGGGGUGGACGGGGCUCCGCGGGGCCGGGGUGCGGGCCGGGGCGCAGCUCCCCACCCUACUGGGAGGACAGAGGUUUUCUUCACCUUGGAAAUGCGAUCGUUCCAAAACUUAGACAGCUGGGACACAGACAGCUCCUUCAGCGAGCGCGGGCCGGGCAGGGAUGCCUGUGAGGGCGGCGCUGGGGCUGCGUCCGUCCGGAGCCAGAGCCCAAGGCGCUGUCAUCCACUUGACUGGACCGAGUCCCACCCUGCAGUCAGCGAAGCCCAAACCCUGUGCUCCACCUGCAGACCCCGGCUCCGGCCUCCAUCGCCAGAACCCGAGCCCGCCCUGCGGGCGCUGCGGGGCCAGUGAGCCCUUCCGCGGUUCCGGAAGUUUGCUGGCAGAGGCCUCAGUUGGAAUGCUUCCCUGAAGACACUGCAGUUGGGAAGCACUGCUUAAGACAUUCAGAAAAUAUCCAGGAAGAAGCAGGGAAGGAAACAGUUCCACACUAAAGGCCCUGGGCCUGUCCAUCCCCAGUGAGGCUGAGCCCACAGGACGUGCCUCGUGACAGGUGAGUGGCUGAGCUGUCUGUCACCGGGGAUCAAGGCUACACAGAGGUGCAAAGCAGGGUCCUCAGUGUGGACCAGCCCCAAGCCCUGCUGGCCCAGUGUCCGCAUCAGAUGGGACUGCUGAGGGCCACGAGCUAACCCUGUCGAGCUGGCAGGCUGCUUCCUGAGUGAGCGCUUGCAUCUUUCUAAGGACAAGGGACAAAUAACUCACACAAGAAACUGAGUGAUACUAAAGGAACUGCUAAGUGCUGAGCAGGUGUCGCUUUUCCUGUUUGUAGCAUGAUAAAGAAUGGCAGGAACUGUUAUGAUCUUCAUCUUCUAGCAGAGGAAACUGAGGCACAGGGAGGUCCGGGGAGCCACGGCAGAGCAGAGCGCAGACACAAUACCCCCGGCUCUGGAGCCUGAGCUGUGCUACGGAAAGAGGGUCAUCUUCGAUAGUAACCAAAGAUUCAACAAUUAAAGCACCUGGAAAUGGAGCCGCAGUGGAGAGGUUUACAUGGAAAUUAAAGAAUUUAGGAAAUAACUGUAGUGGAGGUUGGGAGACACUGACAUUCUCUUAUACAUCUGGUGAUGGAAAUGGGUCCAGCUCGCUUGGAAAGCGAUCUGACAGUAUGUGCCAUUCAAAACUAGAAAACAGUACUCUUUGGUUCAGUAAUUUUCUUUUUGGGAUGCUCUCCUAAAGAAAAAAUACCAAAAUAUACAUUCACAUACGCACAGAGAUACACACUGAAAAGUCUACCCUGUGCAUGCACAAGGCAGCACCGGCAGUGUAUUUGUAACAGUGGACUAUGAUAAACAAUCUAAGCUUUCAAUCAUAGAGAAAUGGUUAAUGUUUUGCAGGCUUUAAUAUUUUUGAAGGCUAAAUAGCAAUGUGAGUAAUGAUUGUGAUAUAACGUUAACUGAAAAAAAAAUCAGGAUAUGAAAUUGCAUAUCUUCUAGGAUCAAAUCACUGAAUAAGUAAGCAUUACACAAAGGAGAGGGACCAAGAGAUUGGGUGACAUGUAACAACAAUUCAGAUAUAUUCAUGUACCAACUCCCCACGAGGAAUGUGAUCAUUAUACAUGUACUGCAAACAUGGAGUAAUUUAAAAAGAAAGGCAAAGUAAGCACGAGACAAGUUCAAGAAGAAACACUCUAAAGAGCUGAGUAGUUUAUAUUAAGAUGAUGAGAUGAUGAGUGUCUUUCUUUCCUCUAUCAGCUGUCUGAUAAUCUUGACCUGAUGUGCUGGUUUUGCAAUGUAAUAUAAGUACAUAUUACAAGACGUGGUGGCAGCACUCUCCUGUAGAAUUAACCAUUAACCAUUAACUCUUCCAGAACUCAGAAGGCUGAGGCAGGAGGAUCACUUUGAGUUCAAGGCCAGCCUGGGCUACAUAGUGAGUUCAAGGCCAGCCUGUACUGCAUAGUAAGAUCCUGUCUCAAAAAAACAAAACAUAAAAGUACAUAUUACAAACUUAACUUUGAAAAUAGGAAGAUGUAUCUGAAAGCUACUGUCGAAGGGAGAGGAUGAUGAAGCCCCAGAGGUUGAGAUCGUACGCAGCCAGUGCAGGGUCAGGGGACAUCCACAAGUGCCCUGGGAGGAAAGGCCAUUGGCCUGAGUCCUGGGGACCAGGAGAGGGCCUGGGCCACACAGGUGGAAGGAUGCGACAGGCUCCUGGACAGCCAGCAGCACUUUGUGUGGUGGAAUAUUUCAUCUUCCAUCUUUAUCUUCUGGCUUUUCAUAAAAUGAGGUGACUCUAAAGUUUUUACAGUCGAAUUAAUCCCACAAAACAACUGCUUGGAGAAACAGCAACAUAAUUAUGAGCUGUGCUUCUGGCUCCCAAUCUUCCAUCUAAAAAUAAUCGCUGGGACGGCAUUCUGGGAAAACGAAGCCGUCACCUAUUCUCGGCCGGCUAUCUUGGUCGUCACUGACUGGAAACCGGAUCACGAGUUGAAUAGCUUCGUGUUUUUAGAACGCUGCUUUCGCCCCUACCUUGAGCGAGUUGACUCCUGAAGGGGUUUGGAAGCUUCCAGUCCCCUGGCCUUCCGCAAGGCGUGGACAUGACUUGGAAAGACUCCCUGCCAUCACCUGCACCCGGGCACAGCCCUAGCCCCUCUGGGGGGCGCCUUCCGCGCACAGGCAGAGACAUAGGAGAGGAGGUGGGACGCCCCACUGCCACCCGCCAGCUGCGCUCUGCCGCCUCAGUUACACAAAUAUUUCUUCAAUAAUAAAUGACCAGUAGGACAAGGGAUGCUAGCUGUCGCUUAUCAAGUAUUACUGGUGCUGGGAGUCUCCGGCUAUUAAACUUCAUGGCAGGGAGUCCUGCCCGCAACACCUCCAGUGCCAGGGUGCUCGGGUCCUUCAGCUGACCGGAGGGAGGAGUCAGGAGGCCGAGGAAGGGCUGUGAGUGCAGUGUUCUCCGCACCUGGUGGAGAGCCGCCAUCCCGCGCCCCGGCCUCCCUUCCCCUCGCAUCUUCCCACGCAGGCCACGCUUCCCACGGCGCCGCACCUCCGCGCCUCCGCCGCCUCGUCACUGUGUCACCUACUCAGUCCUAUAACAGUCCCCGUGUCGUCACUCUCCAGUGUCACCCACAAGUGACUGUUUGGGUGACAACUACUUAGCUUUGGGGGAGAGGUAAGGAAGAGUCCGCUGUGACGCCAAGCAGCAACAGCUUGAUCUGGGGUGUUUAUGAAGAUCGUUGUCCCCACACGGCCUAAACUCUUGCUCUUUCACUAACUUCUUCCCAGCUCCGGGUGCUCAGAAUCCUUCCCUACCCGGGGCCAGUUGCACUCUCACGGGGUUCCCCCUUCCUGUCUGAAGGGGGCCAUAAAGGUGUUUUCCAAAUGUGAGUCCUAGGAAUCCGCAGCCUACAGUCUGGGAUGGUUUGAGUAGCACUGGCUACACUGCUCCAUUAUUACCCACACUUUACGCAAGACCAAACAAGCUUAAGGAAAUGAGAGGAACGGGCCGGGCCUAAGCGAGAAGCCCGGCUUGCCAGAUCCAGCCUCACGUGCUUUCCACUCUGCCAGGACAAGCACACGAGUCAGUGCUUACUGCAUUUUUAAACCACGCCUGGCUCUGGAGCCGAGCAUUAGCUCAUGAAGUCCUCGAAUCAGCGAACCCCAGCUAACAGACACGGAGGGUGGAGUCUUCUCCGGGCCCCACACCCAGCAGCCCAGCCCAGGGCUGGAGCCUGGACCAUCAUCUCCGAGGUCCUCAGUGACUGCCGUCCUCCUGGCCUCGGGUGCAGCUCCUACAGACCUUUGUACAGCUAGAGACGAGGACAGCUGUAGGGGGCAUUGCCGUCCACACCCUGAAGAUAACCCCGCUGUGGCUGGACACUCGGGCUUUCUGCUUGCCCUUAGCACGGGGGUGCUGUGGGGUCAGGCGGUGCUGACAGAUUCACUCCCUGACAGACAGCUGUUAGCGUUGUGAUGGCUGUUUUCGGGGCCACUCGCAUAACGCAGUCUUUCCUUGUCUCGUGAGUUGUGCACCCUGCAUCUGGCCAGCAGGAUCCACCCGACCAAAUGCGCUCCGUACGUUAGGUAGUGUUCAGCGCUGAGCAAACAAAGACCGUCUUUGGAUCCAGGCUUGGUCCUGAGCAGCAAGGAUGCCUGUGGUCUCGCGUCUGCAGCACAUGUCUACUAAAAGUACAACUGCUGUUAUACAGAGCUCUGUGAAAUGUGUUUAUGUGAAAAAUGAGAUCAUCGUUGGAAAUUGGGGGACCAUCUGUUCAAGGCUAACAUAAAGGGAAGACAACAAUACGAAGGUGAGCACCACGCCCCAUCUUCUCUCAGAACUCAUCUGUGAGCACAAGGAUGACCCAGAUGACCUCCGCUUCCCCAACAGUCUCACCCUUGAGCAAGUCUCAGAAUUCUCCAUACGCAGCACAGCAAUAUCUCGGUUAAUGAGGAACCUCGCAUACAGUGGAGCAGCAAAAGUCCCACCAGUGACGUCGGGAGCAGAGUAACUUCACCCCUCACUGUGUUCACGGUGAUGCCAUGUAGACAAAGCCACAGCUCCCAACCUCAGGAAAUCAGAGCGGCACAACACGUGCAGCACACGCUGCUUGUGACAAGUCUGUGUGCCGCGCUGUACUCUCCACCCUGUGUAAACACAUACCGUGCACAGGCCGAGUUCACUGUAAAAUACCGUGCAGCUGCACCGGCAGCAGCCUCAUCUGUCUCGUGCUUGCUGUGUCCCUCGCAUCAGGAGGUGACGUGCAGGAGUUCAUGUGCCCCUCGGUUGUGUAAACGCACACACUGCCGUUCACACAACACAGUGGCCUAACGGCAUUUCUCAGAACAGAGCCCUAGGUUCGCAUGCAGCACAUGACUGUAACUAAAUGGAAAAAGCAGUGAGGAGCAGGCUGACUAGAACACGGAAGGUGGACUGUCUCACAUCCCUCUUUCUCGCCCUGUACGCGGUUGGUUGUGCAGCACUUCCAGCGGCCUGGCAGCCCCUCCGACUGGGAGAUGGCCGAGGCCCCACUUGCCUCCCCCGGGGCUUGGCUGUGCUCUGGCUUCAGCCAACUGAACACUGGUUCUGGAAGGCUCUGUAAAAGGACCUGGGCCUCUGCUUCUAUGCCCUCCUAGCUAUCCAACUCCUAGUUUACAGGAGGAAAGGAAAGACUGGGCUGACCAAAACCUUGAGCAAUAAAUGUAAAUAUCUACCUCGGUAAGCCUCUGAGAUUGGGGAUUGGUUGUUAUGCACCAUAAUUGCAGCAGAAAUCUCACGGAUACAAUGAAAGUCUGGCUUUUCCGCUUUUUCAUGCAUCUUACCGAACAGUGUACAUAAACCUGAGCACCUUAUUGAGGCUGCUGAGCUUCACUUUAGGCUGACUACACAGAUGUGCUCAUUAGCAGCACCCCUAACAAGACAACGGUGCUGAGAAGAUUACAGGCCUGGAAAUCUGUGGACGGUACCCUUGUGGGCAGGGCCCUGUGCCUUCAGCCCACACAGAGCCGUGGUUCCUGCGCAGCUGUGCUGGCUGCAGGACAGACGAGACGGUACCAAACAGUGUGGUCUGGUGGCCACCCGGGGAGCCUUUCGCUUGGGCUUCAGCACCUGGAGAGAUUGCCUUUGUGCAGAGCAACCAGCUGGCCACGUCUCAUGGACACCGGCUCUCUAGGUGGAGGUGGCCCUCUGGAAAGGACCGGGAAAAAUCGAAGCAAAUACAAGGUCCCCACGAGCAAGUGCACAGAACUGACCUGCAGCACACAUUUUAUUUACUAAACUCUGGUCUGCCUUCACUAGACCUUUCUCCCACACACAUUUUCUCCUUUAUUGUUUCCUUAUAACCCACUACUAUUAUUUUAGCUACUGUUCUUUCGGACAUAUCCAUGUUGAGACCCUUAAUUCUUUCAGGAACAGAAUUGAGAACACAUAAAACACUAUUGUUAAUAAGAAAAUUGUAAUUUCAGUUAGUAUAGUGCAGACAAAAGUAAAAUUUCAUUCAUGAUCCAUUAACCUUGUUGAGGAUCUGGUAUUUCUCUAUUAUAAAUAAUCUAUGGGUGGGCAUUAUGUGUAAAUACUGAUAA